rnacentral:lncRNA from 1 species
GGGGGGGGCUGGGGGGGUUUUAAGAGCAAUUCUGCUGUUGAUUCAUGCAUUUUGUAGAAAUACAGUACUCCUCUGUCAAUUUGAAGCUGCUGCCUUCCAUAUGUGGUUUCAUGCCUCACACCACACAGUCUGCCCUGUCUCGGGCCAUUAUUAUUUGAUAUUUUAUUAUCCGCCUUAAUCCACCUCAGUGUGAGAGGUAAGCAGCAGGCAGCGAGUGGGGGCUGCAUCGAGCUGGGCUGAGACUAAGGCUGGGGCUACGCUGGGGGCUGCAUGGAGCUGGGCUGAGACUAAGGCUGGGGCUACGCUGGGGGGCUGCAUGGAGCUGGGCUGAGACUAAGGCUGGGGCUACGCUUGGGGGCUGCAUGGAGCUGGGCUGAGACUAAGGCUGGGGCUACGCUUGGGGGCUGCAUGGAGCUGGGCUGAGACUAAGGCUGGGGCUACGCUUGGGGGCUGCAUGGAGCUGGGCUGAGACUAAGGCUGGGGCUACGCUUGGGGGCUGCAUGGAGCUGGGCUGAGACUAAGGCUGGGGCUACACUUGGGGGCUGCAUGGAGCUGGGCUGAGACUAAGGCUGGGGCUACGCUGGGGGGCUGCAUGGAGCUGGGCUGAGACUAAGGCUGGGGCUACGCUGGGGGGCUGCAUGGAGCUGGGCUUAGACUAAGUGGGGCUGGGGCUACGCUUGGGGGCUGCAUGGAGCUGGGCUGAGACUAAGUCUGGGACUACGCUGGGGGGCUGCAUGGAGCUUGGCUGAGACUAAGGCUGGGGCUACGCUGGGCGGCUGCAUGGAGCUCGGCUGAGACUAAGGCAGGGACUACGCUGGGGGGCUGCAUGGAGCUUGGCUGAGACUAAGGCUGGGGCUACGCUGGGGGGCUGCAUGGAGCUGGGCUGAGACUAAGGCAGGGACUACGCUGGGGGGCUGCAUGGAGCUUGGCUGAGACUAAGGCUGGGGCUACGCUGGGGGGCUGCAUGGAGCUGGGUUGAAACUGAGGUUGGGGGGGAGUUUCAAAGGGCUGGCCUGAGACUGAGGCUGGGGUUAGGCUAAGAGGCUACUAGGAACUGGGCUGGGCUGAAACUGAGGCUGGGAGGCUACAAUGAGCUGGGCUGCGGCAGAGACGAUCAGCACUCGCUUGCGCCAAACGUUAUGUAGGGACACUGCUGAGCCCGACAAACCUGCAUUCUUGACAUAAUCUAUAUUCAUGUAAGUUGAAGGUGUGAGUAUAGGUUGAUGGAUGACUUUCUGUAGAAGUAAGGACUGGAUGAAGACGGAUAACUAUUUACCAGCUUUAAUGGUCAAAUCACAUUGAACACCAUCAAGCAACCACACUACAACUAUCACUUUCUGUAUCAAUAAAGCUUAACCCCACACUUAAAGCAUUGGCCAAUAAGAAAACAGUAGUUAAUUACCAGGUAAAGAAUUAGGUAAAUACAGUUAUUUCGAAAACACAGAUUCACGACAUACAGUAUAUGCAAUGUGUAUAACUGCCAUAUAAAUGAAAUAAUUACUCAGGAAAUAAUCCUACAUUCAAUUAUGUUGAAGUCCAGUGUCCACAGAAUGACGUACUUGUUGUUCUGACGCCUCCACUUUGGCUGAACACAGCCAACUAUAUCAGUCAGACAGCUCAGAGGAGUGAACAGACAGAGAGAGCGAAAGAGAGAGUGAGAGCGAGAGAGAAAGAGAGAGAGAGAGAGCGAGAGAGAGUGAGAGAAAGAGAGAGAGAACAUAGACUUCUCAAAGCAGAUAUUCUGAUGUAUCUGUGGAGCUUUGUGUAGGCCGCCAUUGUAAAUAAGAAUUUGUUCUUAACUGACUUGCCUAGUUAAAUAAAGGUUAAAACCUGUUAUGCCUAGGCGUCCCUCUAGCGACACGCCUCAACAACAUCCGGUGAAAUUGCAGAGCACGAAAUUCAAAUUACAGGAAUAUAAAUAUUUAACAUUCAUGAAAAUACAAGUGUUAUACAUCAAAUAAAGCUUAACUUCUUGUUAAUCCAGCCGCUGUGUCAGAUUACAAAAAGGCUUUACGGCGAAAGCACACCAUGCGAUUAUCUGAGGACAGCACCCCGCAUACAAAAGAAUGAAAAACACAUUUCAACCAGGCAGGUGUGCCACGAAAGUCAGAAAUACCAAUAUAAUAAAUGCCUUACCUUUGAAGAUCUUCUUCUGAUGCCACUCCAAAAGGUCCCAGGAACAUCACAAAUGUUCCUUUUGUUCAAUAAAGUCCUUCUUCAUAUCCAUAAAAACUCAGUUUAGCUGGCGCGCUUCAUUCAAUAAUCCACUGGUUUCCCUCCUUCAAAAUGCAUACAAAUUGAAUGCCAAACGUUACCAAUAAACUUAUCCAAACAAGUCAAACAACGUUUAUAAUCAAACCUCAGGUACCCUAAUACGUAAAUAAACUAUAAAAUUUAAGACGGAGAAUCGUUAUUGUCUUUACCGGAGAUAAACAACAAAGAACGCGCUCUCAUCCACGCGCAUGAAUACACUACAGCCAAAAUGGGAGCCACCUAGAAAAACUACAAAUUCUAGCUCAUUUUUCCAAAAACAAGCCUGAAACUCUUUCUAAAGACUGUUGACUACUAGUGGAAGCCCUAGGAACUGCAAUCUGGGAGGAUUUUGCCUCAUAAUAAAAAUGACAGCCAUUGGAAACAGUGUUAGGCUGAAAUUGUUU